rnacentral:rRNA from 1 species
UGCUAGACAUAGCAGUAAUGCAGUUAACACAGUAAGUGUGCCGCCUGGGGAGUACGGUCGCAAGAUUAAAACUCAAAGGAAUAGACGGGGACCCGCACAAGCGGUGGAGCAUGUGGUUUAAUUCGACGAUACGCGAAGAACCUUACCUGGCCUUGACAUAGAUAGAACUUACUAGAGAUAGUUUGGUGCUAGUUUACUAGAGCUAUCAUACAGGUGCUGCACGGCUGUCGUCAGCUCGUGUCGUGAGAUGUUGGGUUAAGUCCCGCAACGAGCGCAACCCUCGUGUUUAGUUACUAACAGUUCGGCUGAGGACUCUAGACAGACUGCCUGGGUAACCAGGAGGAAGGUGAGGACGACGUCAAGUCAUCAUGGCCCUUACGGCCAGGGCUACACACGUGCUACAAUGGGGUAUACAAAGAGCAGCGAUACCGCGAGGUGGAGCAAAUCUCAUAAAAUAUCUCCCAGUUCGGAUAGUAGUCUGCAACUCGACUACUUGAAGUUGGAAUCGCUAGUAAUCGUAGAUCAGCAAUGCUACGGUGAAUACGUUCCCGGGUCUUGUACUCACCGCCCGUCACACCAUGGGAAUUGAACUCAUUCGAAGCGGGGAUGCUAAAAUAGCUACCUUCCACAGUGGAUUUAGUAACUAGGGUGAAGUCGUAACAAGGUAACC